AAAAAUUAUUUAUUUUUACCAAAGAUUCUGAAAAGAUAACGACACAUGACACGAUAACAUUGGAUAAAAAUCUUAUCGAAAUCCUUCGCUAAAUAAUUGUUUUUUUUUUAUAAAAUGACACGUGGCGCAACGAGAACAAUUUAAGAAUUCUUAUCCGAAAUUACAAAUAAUUUUAUUUUGUAUUAUUUAAACAAACAAAAAAAACUAUUAUUUUAAUUGCCUAUUGCCUGGGGGGAGGGCUCCAAGGGUGGAGAUGCAAAUGGCAAUUACUGUUCAUUAAUGUCAGUUACUAUUCAUUUAAGGCAGUUACUGUUCAAAAGGGUGGAUUCAAUAGUGCAUUGCCAGGGGGGAAGGCUCCAUGGGUGGAGUUGCUCUAAUCAAAUCAUAUUGCAAGCAUGAACAUGGUUUCGAAUUCCCCCCUAGCUAAGGGGGGUUUAGUUCCUCAUACUCACAAAGGAAAGAUAAACAAAUUUAGACAUUGAAAACAAAAGAAUGAAAACACCUAAAAACGCUCCAACAAUCCAACUUGAAUGGCAAACACGUCCAAGGGUCCUCCUUCUUCUCUUUGUUGCGGAUCAAAGUGUGGUUUGAUGGAUGAGUGGUAAAUUAUGGUGGUGGAUGGAUAUAGGUGAGUUAUGGUGAAGCGUGGAUGGGUGGAUUGUGUUCUCCUUUUGGUUGGAUGAGUGCCACGACAAGGGAAUGGAAUUGUAUGUGUUUGUGGGAUGUGGGAAUAUAUGGAUGAAUGUAAGGUCUUUUGAAUGGAUCUUUUCUUCUUUCUUCUUUGUUAUGGUGAAGGGUGGAUGUAUUUAUAGGCUAGGGUGAGGACCACCAUCUAAUUAAGGUGGUAGUGGUGUAUGUU
rnacentral:lncRNA from 1 species